GAUGAACGCUGGCGGCGUGCCUAAUACAUGCAAGUCGAGCGAACAGACGAGGAGCUUGCUCCUUCGACGUUAGCGGCGGACGGGUGAGUAACACGUAGGUAACCUACCUAUAAGACUGGGAUAACUUCGGGAAACCGGAGCUAAUACCGGAUAAUAUUUCGAACCGCAUGGUUCGAUAGUGAAAGAUGGCUUUGCUAUCACUUAUAGAUGGACCUGCGCCGUAUUAGCUAGUUGGUAAGGUAACGGCUUACCAAGGCAACGAUACGUAGCCGACCUGAGAGGGUGAUCGGCCACACUGGAACUUGGACGCUUUCCAGACUCCUACGGGAGGCAUCAGUAGGGAAUCUUCCGCAAAGGGCGAAAGCCUGACGGUGCAACGCCGCGUUAGUGAUGAAGGUCUUCGGAUCGUAAAACUCUGUUAUUAGGGAAGAACAAACGUGUAAGUAACUGUGCACGUCUUGACGGUACCUAAUCAGAAAGCCACGGCUAACUACGUG
rnacentral:rRNA from 1 species